rnacentral:rRNA from 1 species
GUAGGUGGCAAGCGUUGUCCGGAAUUAUUGGGCGUAAAGCGCGCGCAGGCGGUUCUUUAAGUCUGAUGUGAAAGCCCACGGCUCAACCGUGGAGGGUCAUUGGAAACUGGAGAACUUGAGUACAGAAGAGGAAAGCGGAAUUCCACGUGUAGCGGUGAAAUGCGUAGAGAUGUGGAGGAACACCAGUGGCGAAGGCGGCUUUUCUGGUCUGUAACUGACGCUGAGGCGCGAAAGCGUGGGGAGCAAACAGGGAUUAGAUACCCUGGUAGUCCACGCCGUAAACGAUGAGUGCUAAGUGUUAGGGGGGCUUCCGCCCCCCUUAGUGCUGCAGCUAACGCAUUAAGCACUCCGCCUGGGAGUACGGCCGCAAGGCUG